GGAGGGGGCCGGGCUAGCGGGCUACUGGGCUGCGGAGACCAGAGCCCGGCUCCACUGAAGAAACCCGCCGGCUGCUGGGGCAGGGCGGCGAAAGGUCAGUCGGCCGAGAGGAGUCCGUGGAGCCACCGUUUCAUAGCCUCAGGGAAAGGAUCGGGCGUGCUCACGAGCCCUCUAACCCAUGGCUUAAACACCCGCUUCCUAAGCCUGGGUUCUUAUGCCUUUGUUUGAAAAACAUGGUUCCCUGUGAAAUUUUACAUGUAGAAGAAAGCUUCACACUACGAGAGCUCUCAGGAUAUAAUUAUUUCAGACAGAUACUGGGAACAUAAGAUGGCUUAUCAAUCUAAGAUGGCCUUCCUGUCCUUCGGAUUGAACUGAAACCAUCCCUGAUUCCAGGGAUAGGUAGAUGAUCCAGGUUUGGACAAUCAAAAUAUUGAACCACCCUGGACCUACAAGUGUUUCUGGGAUGGGAACAUGCAAACGUUGGUCCAAAUUGUUGUUCUAGGCAGCCCAGUACAUUUCUCCAAUGCCUGAUGGAAUGAUAGGGUAUGCAUAAAUGUUCAUGUGGGCUCUGGAGUAUACCAGGAACUGAAGUAAGGUACAUGGACGUCUUGAAUAUUGUAACUGAGAUGGGCAAGCCUACACCUUUGCAAAUAAAGGAGGAUUGGGAAAGAUUAAGCCUCUCAAGCACUGUGAAAAAUCACUUUCUCUUGUUGUAUUCUUGGAGCCCCUGCUAAUUCAUUAUUGAAAAAUACCUGCUGCCUGCAUUUGGCCUUAUGUUGUCAUUUACUUGGUACUUCCUAAGCGUGGCUACUCCAAUGAAGCUUUAGUAUAUGUACUGAAAGAAGAUCCUCUCAUACUGCCACAGCCAAGAGAUAAGGUUGUAAAUCUUUAUUGGGAGAAGCCGUCAAGGACAGUUCUGUGAAAUGAAAGGAUCUCUGGAUCACCACAAAGUCUGGCUCAGUGACUAUGGCUUUGCAAACACUAAACAUUCCUGUCUCAAGUCCUGUAGAUGGCUUGAAAUAGUAUACAUAAGCAUGCCUUAUAAACAUCUUCAGUCUUUAUCAACUCUUUGGAGAUUCAGCCAUUCUUUUUUGUACUUUAGGGAAUUAAAUCAUUUUAUAAUGUAUAAAUCUGAGCAUGGCCGAUGGCAGAAGAAAUUUUGUCAUACGUUUUUAAAGAAAUAAAAAUGUAUUAUGUUUUAAAA
rnacentral:lncRNA from 10 species